rnacentral:rRNA from 1 species
CAGGCUUAACACAUGCAAGUCGAGGGGCAGCAUGGUCUUAGCUUGCUAAGGCCGAUGGCGACCGGCGCACGGGUGAGUAACACGUAUCCAACCUGCCGUCUACUCUUGGACAGCCUUCUGAAAGGAAGAUUAAUACAAGAUGGCAUCAUGAGUCCGCAUGUUCACAUGAUUAAAGGUAUUCCGGUAGACGAUGGGGAUGCGUUCCAUUAGAUAGUAGGCGGGGUAACGGCCCACCUAGUCUUCGAUGGAUAGGGGUUCUGAGAGGAAGGUCCCCCACAUUGGAACUGAGACACGGUCCAAACUCCUACGGGAGGCAGCAGUGAGGAAUAUUGGUCAAUGGGCGAGAGCCUGAACCAGCCAAGUAGCGUGAAGGAUGACUGCCCUAUGGGUUGUAAACUUCUUUUAUAAAGGAAUAAAGUCGGGUAUGGUUACCCGUUUGCAUGUACUUUAUGAAUAAGGAUCGGCUAACUCCGUGCCAGCAGCCGCGGUAAUACGGAGGAUCCGAGCGUUAUCCUGAUUUAUUGGGUUUAAAGGGAGCGUAGAUGGAUGUUUAAGUCAGUUGUGAAAGUUUGCGGCUCAACCGUAAAAUUGCAGUUGAUACUGGAUAUCUUGAGUGCAGUUGAGGCAGGCGGAAUUCGUGGUGUAGCGGUGAAAUGCUUAGAUAUCACGAAGAACUCCGAUUGCGAAGGCAGCCUGCUAAGCUGCAACUGACAUUGAGGCUCGAAAGUGUGGGUAUCAAACAGGAUUAGAUACCCUGGUAGUCCACACGGUAAACGAUGAAUACUCGCUGUUUGCGAUAUACUGCAAGCGGCCAAGCGAAAGCGUUAAGUAUUCCACCUGGGGAGUACGCCGGCAACGGCGAAACUCAAAGGAAUUGACGGGGGCCCGCACAAGCGGAGGAACAUGUGGUUUAAUUCGAUGAUACGCGAGGAACCUUACCCGGGCUUAAAUUGCAGAUGAAUUACGGUGAAAGCCGUAAGCCGCAAGGCAUCUGUGAAGGUGCUGCAUGGUUGUCGUCAGCUCGUGCCGUGAGGUGUCGGCUUAAGUGCCAUAACGAGCGCAACCCUUGUUGUCAGUUACUAACAGGUUCCGCUGAGGACUCUGACAAGACUGCCAUCGUAAGAUGUGAGGAAGGUGGGGAUGACGUCAAAUCAGCACGGCCCUUACGUCCGGGGCUACACACGUGUUACAAUGGGGGGUACAGAGGGCCGCUACCACGCGAGUGGGUGCCAAUCCCCAAAACCUCUCUCAGUUCGGACUGGAGUCUGCAACCCGACUCCACGAAGCUGGACUCGCUAGUAAUCGCGCAUCAGCCACGGCGCGGUGAAUACGUUCCCGGGCCUUGUACACACCGCCCGUCAAGCCAUGGGAGCCGGGGGUACCUGAAGUGCGUAACCGCGAGGAGCGCCCUAGGGUAAAACUGGUGACUG